CUCUGAACAUACAUGUCAGAGUAACUUGACAAUCUGAUCAAUUGCCAAAGUUCCCCGUCACCGACCCAAUUUCAGAUGUAAAUCAACGACUGCCGGCCCGGACAUUUCUGCCCAAACAUUUCUGCCUGAACACCUCUGCAGACCGACCUCAUGAACUCUAAGCUGUAACUAACUAAGUAUCUCUGACCUCUGUCAUUCACCACCUUGACGGCGCAACCACAGACCUUGUUGAAGCUGAUGGGCAUACUAGCCACCCUGCUAUCAGACAAAAAAUAGAAGGAACACAUGUUUUGAAUGCAAUAAGAAAGAUAACUAGAGACAGUGGAAGCCAUCACCCAAAAAAGACAGCUUUGGUAUUGGCUGAAGCAUUUCCCUGAUGAUGACUGAUUGCAAACAGAACAGCUCAGGAACAACCUGGAGUACCCUGAAUACUGGCUUACUGCUCAGAUCACAAGGGAUACCAAUACUAAGUUCCAAGGUCUGUGACUACAAUAUUUACCUCUUGUGAAAAUUAUGUAAUGCUUUAAAUUAUUAUUUGAUAUUUAAAUGUUCUUGUUGACCUUCAUUAGCAUGCCCUAAAAGCAUGCCAUAAACUUGAACUUGGUGUUGUUGAAAAACAUUUUG